UUUUCUUCUUAUAAACUCUUAUUAACCUUUAUAAAAAAAUAAAAAAUAAAUAAAAAAAAUUAAUGGUCACAUAUAUGGAAAAUGGUGGCUGGCCAUGUGCUAUUUUAGAGUGGUGUGAACCCAAUUUUAUAAAAUUCAAAUCUCAUUUAAUUAAGAAGUCAAGUGGGCAAGUGGGUAGAAAAGCACUCAAGUGUUUUGUGAUAUUUUGAAGAGUUGUGUGAGCCAUUCUAACCCCCAAAUCCGACCACUCUCCCUCCCUCAUUCACUCUCAUCUGAUUUUUGAAGACUCUCUCAAGUGUUCUCUCCAUUUGCAACCCCAAGAACACCAAAGAAACUUGGAAGCUAAGUCUUGGUCUAGGAAGGGUUUUCCCUAAGUUUGUUAGGGUUUUUGAAAGGUUUUAAAGGAGUCAAAGCUUAUAGGAAGGUCCAAACCUUAAGCAAGAACACCAAAGAGUAUUGGCUAAGCGUAACUGGACUGAACGUUGGAGGGUGAAAACUUGCUGAGCGCUAAGGACUCCAAGAAUAUAGUUAUGGCGGCGAAAAGAUUCUUGGCGGCUUGGGAUUGUGUAUUGAGGGAGAAUGGAUUCGGUGGAUUGCGUGAACGAUUUGAGGACGAAGUUGUCUUUAGUCAUUUCAAUAAUAUUUUCUAUGUAUUUUCCGCACCUGAUCUUGUAACGAAUUUAUUUAAGAUAUGAGAUAUGUUUUAUUUUCAAACAAUGGGAUCCCAUAUCAUACCCCGAAUUUUAUGUAUUUCAACUUUUACUUUUUAGUUUUCAAUAAAGUUAUGAAUGUUUCAUA